UGAGCAGCCUGCCCUCAGCUUUGGGGAUAACCCUCGGAAACGGGGGCUAAUACCGGAUAUUCACUGCUUCGCGCAUGUGGGGUGGUGGAAAGUUUUUCGGCUGGGGAUGGGCUCGCGGCCUAUCAGCUUGUUGGUGGGGUGAUGGCCUACCAAAGCGACGACGGGUAGCCGGCCUGAGAGGGCGACCGGCCACACGUGGGACUGAGACACGGCCCAGACCUCCGUACGGGAGGCA
rnacentral:rRNA from 1 species